UAGCCUUUCUGAAAUCACAUUGU
rnacentral:miRNA from 1 species